rnacentral:rRNA from 1 species
UACGAAGGGGGCUAGCGUUGCUCGGAAUCACUGGGCGUAAAGGGUGCGUAGGCGGGCAGGUAAGUCAGUGGUGAAAGCCCGAGGCUCAACCUCGGAACUGCCUUCGAUACUGCGGGUCUCGAGUCCGGGAGAGGUGAGUGGAAUUCCUAGUGUAGAGGUGAAAUUCGUAGAUAUUAGGAAGAACACCAGUGGCGAAGGCGGCUCACUGGCCCGGUACUGACGCUGAGGCGCGAAAGCGUGGGGAGCAAACAGG